rnacentral:rRNA from 1 species
AAGACAACUCUCGGCAACAGAUAUCUCGGCUCUCGCAUCUAUUAAGAACGCAGCGAAAUGCAAUACUUGGUGUGAAUUUCAGAAUCUCGCGAACCAUCGAGUCUUUGAACACAAGUUGCGCCCGAAGCCUUUUGGCCGAGGGCACAUCUGCCUGGGUGUCAUGC